UACGGAGGGGGCUAGCGUUGUUCGGAAUUACUGGGCGUAAAGCGCGCGUAGGCGGACCUGCAAGUCGGGGGUGAAAGCCCGAGGCUCAACCUCGGAACUGCCUUCGAUACUGCGGGUCUCGAGUCCGGGAGAGGUGAGUGGAAUUCCUAGUGUAGAGGUGAAAUUCGUAGAUAUUAGGAAGAACACCAGUGGCGAAGGCGGCUCACUGGCCCGGUUCUGACGCUGAGGCGCGAAAGCGUGGGGAGCAAACAGG
rnacentral:rRNA from 1 species